GCUCUCUUCUGCAGCACAUAACCUAAAAUUGGAACGGUACAGAGAGAUUAGCAUGGCCCCUGCGCAAGGAUCACACACAAAUUCAUGAAGCAUUCCAUAUUUUU